CCUGGAAGUAAAAGUUGUAAGUAAGGUAUCCGUUGGUGAACCAGCGGAGGGAUCAUUACCGAGUUUACAACUCCCAAACCCAUGUGAACAUACCUAUCGUUGCUUCGGCGGGAUCGCCCCGGGCGCCUCGUGUGCCCCGGAUCCGGCGCCCGCCUAGGAACCUUAACUCUUGUUUUAUUUUGGAAUCUUCUGAGUAGUUUUUACAAAUAAAUAAAAACUUUCAACAACGGAUCUCUUGGUUCUGGCAUCGAUGAAGAACGCAGCGAAAUGCGAUAAGUAAUGUGAAUUGCAGAAUUCAGUGAAUCAUCGAAUCUUUGAACGCACAUUGCGCCCGCCAGUAUUCUGGCGGGCAUGCCUGUCUGAGCGUCAUUUCAACCCUCAUGCCCCUAGGGCGUGGUGUUGGGGAUCGGCCAAGGCCCGCAAGGGACGGCCGGCCCCUAAAUCUAGUGGCGGACCCGUCGUGGCCUCCUCUGCGAAGUAGUGAUAUUCCGCAUCGGAGAGCGACAAGCCCCUGCCGUUAAACCCCCAACUUUCCAAGGUUGACCUCAGAUCAGGUAGGAAUACCCGCUGAACUUAAGCAUAUCAAUAAGCGGAGGAAAAGAAACCAACAGGGAUUUGCCUC
rnacentral:rRNA from 1 species